rnacentral:lncRNA from 1 species
UUGAAACUGAAACUGGAGGAGUAACCAUUACUCCUAAACACUACUCCAGUUCCAAUUAUUCGAAACAAAGCGGACUAUGAAGAUAGAUCAUCAAAUCUAAAAUUUCUCAGAUGGGAAGACAUCAGACCAAGACUCACGUCCACAUAAAACAUAAAUCAUAAAAUGAAACGGUGAUAAUACCUCCGAACUGUUCUGGCAGAUGCUGCGAGGGAGGCUGAUUACAUUGCACUUCGAACGAAACGGACCAAUCAAUCUACCUCAACUAGCGCACAAUCCACAACUGAAAUGAAAAGAAAUAGAGACACAACAACUCUGAAGAAAUUAACAUGCAGUUGCAUAAUUAUUUUUUUUUGAAUUUUCACCGGGGGGGAGAUUUCCCCACCUGAAUUGUAUUCAUAUUGCCUAUAAGGCUUUGCAGCCUAUUGCAAGAUAGGUUCAAGUGAACCAGAAAUACAUGGGGGGCACAAGAGGAGAAGAGAUAAAGAAAAAAGGACACACACAUACAACACAUAAAACAGGGGAGAAACAAAAAGGGAAAGAACAGACAACACAACAAGAGCACUGCCAAAGUAGUCGAACGCCAUUGGCCAGCCGAGACCAAGCCAGGGCACUGUACCAUCGAUGCAAUCAAAAGGCGCCGCGCAUCCGAGAGUACACAACGCCGCGACACCACCUGUGUCGUGGGGUGCAAUCAAAAGGACACACGAAACAAGAGACGACACCACGGCACCUGUGUGCCACCGACAAGGCCGAAGGGCAUCACCUAGUAGACCAAACCAAGACACUGCACCAUCGACGUGAUCGAAAGGCGCCGCGCAUCCGAGACUACCCAACGCCACGACACCACCUGUGUCGUGGGGCGCAAUCGAAAGGAUACGUGAGCCGAGACGACGCCACAACACCUGUGUGCCACCGGUGUAGUCACAUAGGCAUCGCCACAGCAGAGACACAUGAAGGGGCACCUGAGGACGAACAAUAAGAACACUGACGAAGACAAGGGAAGACGGCCAACCCCCAAGCCACGGCCCUCCCGGGUGAGAGGAACCGCAUCCAUGGCCGCCACAAACAACACCCAUCAACGCUGACAGCGGGACAAGGGGGCCCUUCCAACCCGCCCACGGCUGCCCCCCGCGUGGAGAGCAAGCCGCAUCCAUGGCUGCCAUCUGCAGGCCAAGGAUUUUGCCGACCUCUGCAACCGCAAUAGGCCGAUAGGCGGAGGAAGAGGCAGCCAACGGUGGAGCACGGUACAACGCCGGCCAGCACCACACCGGGGAGCUCCAGGCAUAACCAGGCGCAAUACAGAGCACCACCACGCCGAGAAAACGCGAAUGCCAAGUUGGGGAAAACCUGAUCUGCCGCCGAGGGAGCAGGAAAACUGGCGCCACCCAACAGAUCCGGGCAGGGGCCUGCCGGAUCCGGCCCCGCACGCCGCGGCCUCGCCAAGGCGACGGCACACACCGGGGCGAGCCCGAGGAGCGCAACCGCCCAGAUCCACCACCCGCGCCGCGCAGGGGCGCCCGACGCCGGCCCACCCAGCAACCAGGGGGGCACAGGGCCAUGCGACGACCAACCGCCGAGCACCAGACGACCUAGAGGCCGCUGCACAAACCGGAGCGCCGCCGGAGCACGGCGCCGCGCGCGACGCUGCUGCGCACGCACCACCGAGGUCGCACACAAGACCAACCGCCGCGCGCAGGAGCGAGGGCCCGCCGCCGCCAGCCGCCACCGGGGCUUUGCCCGGCGACGCGUGCCGGUGGCGGCGGAGGAGGGGAGGAGGGGAGGGGGCGGCGGAAGUCGCGGCUUGGUCUCCGCCCGAGCCGCCCCUGUGGAGCGACGCGGGGGACGGUCCUUUUCCAGUUGCAUAAUUCUACG